rnacentral:lncRNA from 1 species
AUUUGGAGCUCGCGGCGUUCAAUUUUUGUGCGCGUAUGCAUAUCCGAGGGAAAUGGAUUCUUAUUUUUAAAUUAUACCUCGCCCGUGUGAUUUUAAUGUCGCAGCUUUAUUUCUCUAACUUUUGGCGACGCGGGGCGUUAGAGCCAGUCCGCAAACAAGUUGUAGGCCUUUUAAGACGAGUUUGGCGUACAACGAACGUGCAGCUAAGCGUCAUUGUGUGGAACCGUGAUAACAUGCUCGUGUUAGCUGCCCAGUGUAUUUCAGACGGUAGCACUCGCCGAGCCUGUCCGUAAAGUCACCGCCAAAUUUUCUUUUCUGCGGUAACGACAGAAAUUCUUGCAUUUUGAAACGUACCGCUGUCAUUGCGAAAUAUAUUCUUGUUGAGUAGGGAGAAUUUCGCAACGUGAUGUCACGAAAAAAUCAGUUUUGUUGUGGCGAGAUGAAUUCUUUUUUUAAGUGUGACGUCUUGUUGCGACAGAUUUAUUUUUUCUCGGCAAGAUAUCGCGCUUACAGCAAGAAUUUUCGUCGUACUUAGGGAAGUCUCCUGUCGUAAUUUUAAUUCGGGUGCCGAACACAAAAUGGUUUUUACGUUCCCUAGCUGCAGAACGUGACAUUUCUUCUCACCAUUUCGCUGUAGGCAAGACGAGAGGGCUGUCUCCAGCUGCAGGGCUUUCGUGAGCGAUCACGUGACCAUGAUCGGUACACUUGGAAUGAGUUCGACCGGCAUCUGCUCUCUCCAAACAUAUGGUUGCUUUGGAGCAAGUUCUCGUUUAUUAUUAUUUUUUCGCAAGCUUUCCGCCGUAAGUUAUCGCUUAAAGUGAUGAGUACCGAAAAAUAGGUAAGCGGCGAGCCCGUGCAUGCAUCUGCGGCCGAAUUCCUCGCGCUUUUUGUUUGUGAAGGAUGUUUCGUCAUUAGCCAGCGCCUGUCUGAACCGCUUCUGUGAAUACGGGCCUUAGGCCCGCGCCCUAAACGUUACCUCUUUGGUACUCCGUCUUGCAGCGCCCCGUUUACUUAUAGAAACACAAGUUGUCUUUAGAUACGCGCUAUCCGCGGGCGCCCUCUUUCAAUUAGCAUCACCCGAAUCUGUUUCACGCCUUUUCCGGUCUAUGGAAUUCCUGCGGUGUCAAGUCGUAGCCAGCAGCCCGUUCUACGUCAUUACGUUUCGGCCGCCGUGUGUACAAGUUAUAAAUGCUUUUCUUUUCCUUUUUUUUUUUUUUAGAUAAGACGUACAUCUUUAUCCGAUGCUUUUACCGGAAGCAGCUCGCAGGGGUCUAUAUCAGCUGUGUCCAGCAAUAACGCAAUGCCGCCAGUUGGAACGGAACUCCUUUCAUGAUCCUCGGUUAUCUCCCGUGACCAGUUUUCGGAAGUCAGCAGAUGUGGCGCCCCCUAUAAGUUGAAAUCAGCUAGAAGUUGGCCACUGGCGUUAACGAUCGACAACCACUAGAUAAGUCUGUUCACGGGUACCGUGACAGUUCGGCUUCCUCUAGAGUCCGGGUCAGAGUGCCAGUAUUGGAUACGGGAACUAUGAAGGGGCUUCGUGACGUACGUUUUAAUCGUUUGGUCCCGAACGGUGAACCGCGUGAGAACUUCAAAGCUUCGCGCUGUUGCUAGUACACACGUUGGCGUGCACAUUUGUCUCGCAUCCUCCACGGUUGAGAAGAUGUCCCCAAUCGCGAAGUUGGUUUUCAUUGCACUGAAGCGCGCGUUUGUUGAUGAGAGUCACAGACUCGUGGGACGUAGCUGUAGUUCGACGCAGUGGGACUAUACAGGCGGACAAAUCUGUGA